UACGUAGGGCGCAAGCGUUGUCCGGAAUUAUUGGGCGUAAAGAGCUCGUAGGCGGCCUGUUGCGUCCGCUGUGAAAUCCCGGGGCUCAACCCCGGGCCUGCAGUGGAUACGGGCUGGCUAGAGGCAGGCAGGGGAGAACGGAAUUCCCGGUGUAGUGGUGGAAUGCGUAGAGAUCGGGAGGAACACCAGUGGCGAAGGCGGCUUCCUGGACCAGACCUGACGCUGAGGCGCGAAAGCGUGGGGAGCAAACAGG
rnacentral:rRNA from 1 species